GACGAACGCUGGCGGCGUGCUUAACACAUGCCAGUCGAACGGAAAGGCCCUGCUUUUGUGGGGUGCUCGAGUAGCGAACGGGUGAGUAACACGUGAGUAACCUGCCCUUGACUUUGGGAUAACUUCAGGAAACUGGGGCUAAUACCGGAUAGGAGCUCCUGCUGCAUGGUGGGGGUUGGAAAGUUUCGGCGGUUGGGGAUGGACUCGCGGCUUAUCAGCUUGUUGGUGGGGUAGUGGCUUACCAAGGCUUUGACGGGUAGCCGGCCUGAGAGGGUGACCGGCCACAUUGGGACUGAGAUACGGCCCAGACUCCUACGGGAGGCAGCAGUGGGGAAUAUUGCACAAUGGGCGGAAGCCUGAUGCAGCAACGCCGCGUGCGGGAUGACGGCCUUCGGGCUGUAAACCGCUUUCGCCUGUGACGAAGCGUGAGUGACGGUAAUGGGUAAAGAAGCACCGGCUAACUACGUG
rnacentral:rRNA from 1 species